CAUGAGCGCAGUGCGCCCUAAGCGGUCUGCGAUGUUGGGGUCCGCGCCUUGCUCCAAGAGGGAACUCCUCCACGACCUGGACACCGACCAUCUGGAUUCUUCGCUGAGCUUCAGCAGAUCCCCUUCUUGGCACUUGGUGUGUUUUUUAUGCGCUCCUCUGUGCCAGACCUGACCUGCCAUACACGGCACAUGGGACACUGUGCAGAAAGGUGUAGAGAGGCGAUUUGGAUCCACAGCCGGCGCCCAUACUGUGCAGAGACAGAUCUGGCUUCCUUCUUGUAGUUUAUGAGGGAGAGCACGAUCCAGCCUGGAUUCAAACACAGGGGCUUGGAGGAGCUGGAAGGCAUU